AUACAUAUAUAUUAUAUACCAAUUAUAUUUUAAAUGGGUCAGGAUAAAGGCAUUCUUAUGAGUUGAAUUUUUCACCUCUAAAAAAGAUAUGUUGAAGUCAUAACUCUAGUACCUCACUCAGAAUGUUACCUAAUUUGGAAAUAAAGUCCUUGCAGAUAUAAUUAUUUAAGAUGGGUUUAUAUUAGAGUAGGGUGGGCCCUACUCCAAUAUGACUGGUGUCCUUAUAAGAAGAUAGCUAUGUGAAGACACAGAGACAUGGGGAGAAUGCCAUGUGACAAGGCAAAGACUGGACUGAUGCAGCUAUAAGUCAAGGAAUACCAAAGCUUGCCACCAAACUACUAGAAGCUAGGAAGAGAGGUAAGAAAGAAUUUCCCAACUGGUCUCAGAGGGAGCAUGGCCCUGAGACAUUUUCAUCUGGGACUUCUAGCCUCUAGAACUGUGAUACAAUAAAUUUUAGUUAUUUAAAGCCACGUAGCUUGUGGACUUUGUCAUGGUGGCCCUAGGAAUCGAAUACAGACCCAUGAAAGGGAGGUAAGUUUUCUGUAGUUUACUGGAACUGGUAAAAUGCUGAUUAACAUUAGACUCUGAUAGGGUAUGCAUAUAUAAAGUAAUACUGAGAGCAGCCACUAAAAAGCAAUACAAAGAGAAACAUAAGCACUAUAGACACACUAACGGCCAGCGGAUCACAAGGUCAGGAGAUCGAGACCAUCCUGGCUAACACGGUGAAACCC
rnacentral:lncRNA from 1 species